GGAAUUUUGGACAAUGGGGGAAACCCUGAUCCAGCCAUCCCGCGUGUGCGAUGAAGGCCUUCGGGUUGUAAAGCACUUUUGGCAGGAAAGAAACGUCGCGGGUUAAUACCUCGCGAAACUGACGGUACCUGCAGAAUAAGCACCGGCUAACUACGUGCCAGCAGCCGCGGUAAUACGUAGGGUGCAAGCGUUAAUCGGAAUUACUGGGCGUAAAGCGUGCGCAGGCGGUUCGGAAAGAAAGAUGUGAAAUCCCAGAGCUUAACUUUGGAACUGCAUUUUUAACUACCGGGCUAGAGUGUGUCAGAGGGGGGUGGAAUUCCGCGUGUAGCAGUGAAAUGCGUAGAUAUGCGGAGGAACACCGAUGGCGAAGGCAGCCUCCUGGGAUAACACUGACGCUCAUGCACGAAAGCGUGGGGAGCAAACAGGA
rnacentral:misc_RNA from 1 species